AUUAAUAAAAGAGUUACUGACAAACUUGUUUUUGAAAUUGUUUUUCACCUCAUUCAUGGAAUAAAAUUCAGAUUCUUUUUCUUGUGAUUUAAAAACUUUUUCAGCUUCUGCAAAAUUACCCCCAAGAAUUUUUUCACAUGAAUGUGGAAUUUGAGCAGAAAUAAUAUAAUUAGCAUUUUUGUGAGAUUUUGCCCAAAUUUGGAGCACAGUUUGUUCUUUGAUCAACAGAUCUUUAACAUUAUCAAUUUCAGCAGACAAAGAUGAGUUUGACAAACUAGUGAUUCUAAGGUUUUCCUGAGUGGAAUCAAUAAUGUUAUUUUUCAUGGAUAUUUCAGUUUCAAGAAGAUCAAGUUGAUUUUGCAAAUCCCUUAUUGUUUGAUUCUUCUUAGAAUUAAGGACACCCAAAUACUCAAACAUUUUGAUUUUUUCAUUCAUUGAGUAGGAAACAAAGUUUUUAACUUGAUACAUUAAAGGAGAGUCAGUGUUGUGCUUCCUGGAAUUUUUAACUGCAUCAGACAUAUCAGCAUCAAAUGUACUUGUGUUGUUUUCACAAUUAUCAGUGUCUUCUAUCUUGACCAUCAGACACUUAACUUCAUCAUCUGAUGACUCAUCAUCAGUCUUCCAUUUUUCUUCUUCAGCAAUAAGAACUUUAUGAUCCAAGUUCUCUGCUUUCAGUUUCUCAACCAGCUUGUUGUACUUCUGCUUCCAGUAUUCAUCCGAGCUUUGGGUUCUUUGUUUGUAUUCUUUUGCAAAAUGAUCAGUGCUCCCACAGUUAAAGCACUGAGCUUUCCGUUUCUUAUCAGUACCAUGAUUUUUAUCAGCGUCUGAUCUUCUUGAAAAUUUUCCACCCAUCUUCUAAAACUUUGAGAAGUUUCGGCCUGAUUUCUCAAAAGUCUUUACAAUCAAGGCCGCACUAGGCACAACCUUUUCGAGGUCAUNUCAAAAGUCUUUACAAUCAAGGCCGCACUAGCCACAACCUUUUCGAGAUCAUCAGUGUCACUUUUAGAUGAAUCAGUGUCUGAAUGGUUUUCAGUGUCUGACUCUGACAUUUGCUUUUUGUUUGAGAAUAAAGCUACAGAUGAUUCACGCUGAGAAUCCUUCAUCACUUCCUUUCUCUGAAGCUUGG
rnacentral:lncRNA from 1 species